rnacentral:lncRNA from 1 species
AGGCUCCUUGCGGGCCAGCCCGGCGGAUCGUGGAGAGGAGGAGCUGGCAGGGCUGAGUUGGCGGCGGGGCAAAGAGGGUUCACUUACUGGCGGCCGCGAGGGCGCGGGUGGGCCGGAGCUCACUGGGACGACCCCAGGGCAGCGGCGGCUGAGCGGGAGCCGGAGCCGGAGCGGCGCGGGCGGCGGCGCAUCGAUGCGCUGCGGGCUCGAUUGCGUCUCCCUGGGCCAGCUAUUGGGCCGGGAAUGGGGCGGCAGCGGCGGGGCCGGCUCCGGGCGUUGCCGGUCGGCGGUGGCGGGAGUGCGGGGGCGGUCGCCAGGCCCACCGUCCCUUAGGCGGUGCUGCUUCUAGGCGCGCCGCUGGGGCCCAGGGAGUCCCCUGUGCGCCGCGUGCGAGAGUCCGGGCGAGGGCCGAAGCCCCGCGCCCUGGGACUGACUGCCUGAGCGCUCUGGGAGCUGCAAACCCCGGCCUUCUUCCGUCUUUCCCAACCCGCCCCCCCCGCCUUAUGUUUCUUUUUUAGUCUCUUUCUCCCUCUUCUUCUGCCCCCUCUUCUCUUUAUUUUUUCCUUGUGAUUGUUUUUUUUUUUUUUUUUUUUUUUGCAAGUUUGUUUUAAAAGUUCACAGGCAUACUUUCUUUUCUUUUAGACCUGGAGACCUCGAUCUCACCCUGACGGUAAGAUCAAAAGUCUCCGCUCGCCCCCAGCCUGCGAGCUUGGGCUCGGUCCAGACGCCUCCCUGAAUGCAGAUGCGCUGCCGCCGUCCUCGGGGGCUAUAAAGCCGCCUCCUGCGCCUUGGCGUGCGCAGGAGCGCACCGAGUUGCGGGAUGCGGACCCCGGGCGGUUGCGGGGAGUUGGAGUCUAGCUGCGGCUGGGCCCCGGGCUGGCCUCGUGCGGCAGACUCCGGGGCGGGCGCGUGGCGCGGAACUGGUGCCUGCGGCCGCAGAGGCCAAAGCAACUGUCCCUCCAGGCCCGGGAGACGCGGGCGUGGGGCGUGAAACGCUUCUUGCGAAGGAGAAAACGCCAGAUUCCUUACCACUGAGUCACCAGAGAAGCCCUCGGGUCCACUACCUGCAUUGUUAUGAGCUCCAUCGGAAACUGAUGACUCAGCGGGCAGCCUGCAGCAUCCCUGGUGGAUCCUGUUUGAAGUCAUGUUUAUGGAACAGAAUACCUGCAUAG